AUCAUUACAGAGUUGCAAAACUCCGAACCCUUUGUCAUUUAUUCUCAAGUUGCUUCGGCGGGCGGCCCCAGGGCGGGCUCGCGUCCGCCUGCCGAAGACCUACUCAAAUUCUUUACUGUUUAGUGUCUCUCUGAAGCCUAAAAAAAUAAGUUAAAACUUUCAACAACGGAUCUCUUGGUUCUGGCAUCGAUGAAGAACGCAGCGAAAUGCGAUAAGUAAUGUGAAUUGCAGAAUUCAGUGAAUCAUCGAAUCUUUGAACGCACAUUGCGCCCGUUAGCAUUCUAGCGGGCAUGCCUGUUCGAGCGUCAUUUCAACCCUCAGAGCCCCUGUAUUUUUAAUGCUGGGUGUGCUGGUGUUGGGGCUUCUGCGGCUGCCGCAGGCCCUGAAAAACAGUGGCGGGCUCCGCUAUACUCCGAGCGCAGUAAUACUUCUCGCUCAUGGGCGUGUAGUGGGGAUCUUGUCUUCUAAAUUUAACUUAAAAUGGGUUGACCU
rnacentral:rRNA from 1 species